GACGAACGCUGGCGGCGUGCUUAACACAUGCAAGUCGAACGGUAAGGCCCUUCGGGGUACACGAGUGGCGAACGGGUGAGUAACACGUGGGUGAUCUGCCCUGCACUUCGGGAUAAGCCUGGGAAACUGGGUCUAAUACCGGAUAGGACUCCGGACUGCAUGGUCUGGGGUGGAAAGCUUUUGCGGUGUGGGAUGGGCCCGCGGCCUAUCAGCUUGUUGGUGGGGUGAUGGCCUACCCAGGCGACGACGGGUAGCCGGCCUGAGAGGGUGACCGGCCACACUGGGACGGGGAUACGGCCCAGACUCCUACGGGAGGCAGCAGGGGGGAAUAUUGCACAAUGGGCGCAAGCCUGAUGCAGCGACGCCGCGUGAGGGAUGACGGCCUUCGGGUUGUAAACCUCUUUCAGCAUCGACGAAGCGAAAGUGACGGUAGGUGCAGAAGAAGGACCGGCCAACUACGUGCCAGCCGCCGCCGUAA
rnacentral:rRNA from 1 species